AUUGCUUCUUGGCCUUUUGGCUAAGAUCAAGUAUAGUAUCUCUUCUUACCAGUUUAAUAUCUAUUUCUUAAUGUAAAAAGGUAUGCCUUUCUUCUGUAUUCCAUUCAACAACACUUUACACUUAUAUUCCAUGUGCAGCCUAGUAGUAGACCAUGGGAGCCAAUGGACUGAUGGUUCUGACAAACUUUCCAGUUCUAUAUAGGACAUACCCUC
rnacentral:snRNA from 1 species